AUGAAAUUAAAGGGCUGCAGUAAUUUGACUGUACAAAGGUAGCAUAAUCAUUAGUCAUUUAAUUGAUGACUUGUAUGAAAGAUUGGAUGAAAUAUAAGCUGUCUCUUAGUUAUAAAUAGAAUUUAAUUUUUUAAUUAAAAAGUUAAAAUAAUUUAAAAAGACGAGAAGACCCUAUAGAGUUUUAUAAUUUUAUUGAUUAAGAUUAUUUAAAUAAGUAAAAAUUAAAAUUAUUAAGAUUAUUUUGUUGGGGUGACAGAAAAAUAAAUUUAACUUUUUUUAUUUGGUAAACAUAUAUAAGUGGGUAAAUGAUCCAGUAAUAUUGAUUAUAAGAAAAAAUUACCUUAGGGAUAACAGCGUAAUUUUUUUUUUUAGUUCACAUAAAAAAGAGAGUUUGCGACCUCGAUGUUGGAUUAAGAUAAAAUUUAAAUGUAGAAG
rnacentral:rRNA from 1 species